CUAGCUGGUCUGAGAGGAUGACCAGCCACACUGGAACUGAGACACGGUCCAGACUCCUACGGGAGGCAGCAGUGGGGAAUAUUGCACAAUGGGCGCAAGCCUGAUGCAGCCAUGCCGCGUGUAUGAAGAAGGCCUUCGGGUUGUAAAGUACUUUCAGCGGGGAGGAAGGGAGUAAAGUUAAUACCUUUGCUCAUUGACGUUACCCGCAGAAGAAGCACCGGCUAACUCCGUGCCAGC
rnacentral:rRNA from 1 species